rnacentral:tRNA from 1 species
GCGGACGUGGCGGAACUGGAAGACGCGCCAGGUUUAGGUCCUGGUGGGCUUUGCCCGUGGAGGUUCGAGUCCUCUCGUCCGCA